AUUGAACGCUGGCGGCAGGCCUAACACAUGCAAGUCGAGCGGAUGACGGGAGCUUGCUCCUUGAUUCAGCGGCGGACGGGUGAGUAAUGCCUAGGAAUCUGCCUGGUAGUGGGGGACAACGUUUCGAAAGGAACGCUAAUACCGCAUACGUCCUACGGGAGAAAGCAGGGGACCUUCGGGCCUUGCGCUAUCAGAUGAGCAUAGGUCGGAUUAGCUAGUUGGUGGGGUAAUGGCUGACCAAGGCGACGAUCCGUAACUGGUCUGAGAGGAUGAUCAGUCACACUGAAGCUGAGACCCGGUCCAGAAUCCUACGGGAGGCAGCGGUGGGGAAUAUUGGACAAUGGGCGAAAGCCUGAUCCAGCCAUGCCGCGUGUGUGAAGAAGGUCUUCUGAUUGUAAAGCACUUUAAGUUGGGAGGAAGGGCAGUAAGUUAAUACCUUGCUGUUUUGACGUUACCGACAGAAUAAGCACCGGCUAACUCUGUGCCAGCCGCCGCCGUAAUAC
rnacentral:rRNA from 1 species